AAUUGCUGGCAUGGCCGCUCUACCAACCAAGCUAUACCUCCCCAAGGAAUAUGCUUCCAGUGUAACUGGCUACAUACCCGGCGCAUGUGGCAAGGCCUGCAACACAUCACAGACUACAAGCAGGGGAGCAGGGGAGCAGGGGAGCAGGGGGGUCACAAACAGCCAACGCUCACUGCCAGAUGAGUUGAAUGAGUUCUACGCCUUUUUUGAGGUCCUCAACACCAACCAACAGAGAGGGGUUCUGACCACUGAGCGCACGCAGGACCCACCACUCACUGUGACAACAGCAGAGGUACGUACAGUUCUGAGGAGGACAAACCCACGGAAGGCAGAGGGCCCAGACAACAGCGGUAUAGCUCGGUUGGGGCGGUAUAGCUCGGUUGGUAGAGUGGCCGUGCCAGCAACUUGAGGGUUGCAGGUUCGAUUCCCACUUCCGCCAUCCUAGUCACUGCCGUUGUGUCCUUGGGCAAGACACUUUACCCACCUGCUCCCAGUGCCACCCACACUGGUUUAAAUGUAACUUAGAUAUUGGGUUUCACUAUGUAAAGCGCUUUGAGUCACUAGAGAAAAGCGCUAUAUAAAUAUAAUUCACUUCACUUCAACCCUGGCCAGGCCCUCAGGGUCUGUUCAACAGAGCUGGCUGACAUACUUGCUGACAUAUACUAUACAACUUGUCACUAGCACAAGCUGUUGUGCCCACCUGCUUCAAGACCACCACCAUCGUGCCCCUGCCAAAGAAAAACACUGUCGCCUGUCUGAAUGACUAUCGCCCUGUUGCACUCACCCCAAUAGUGAUGAAGUGCUUUGAGAGGAUAGUCAUGUCACAAAUCAAGAAGACCAUCCCAGACACACUGGACCCUCUACAGUUUGCCUACCGGCAGAACUGGUCCACUGAAGAUGCAGUCAACAACGCCAUCCACACCACCCUUACCCACUUGGAGGGCAAGGACACCUAUGCCAGCCUAUUAUUCAUCGACUACAGCUCUGCUUUUAACACAGUCAUCCCACAAUAUCUCACCGCUAAACUUUUCACGUUUGGUCUGACACCAGCUCUCUGUGACUGGGUCCUGAACUUUCUCACAAACCGGCCCCAGUCAGUCAGAAUCGGCAACCAGACAUCAGGCACAUAGGUUCUAAGCACAGGAACCCCAAGGCAUUCGUGCUGAGCCCACUACUGUACACCCUCCUCACACACGACUUUGUGGCCUCCCAGAACAACACCAGUAUCAUCAAGUUUGCGGAUGAUCCUACGGUCGUCGGACUGAUCACCGGGCGAGCUGAGGCAGCGUACAGAAGGGAGGUAGCGGAACUAGUGGCCUGGUGUCAGGAUAAUAAUCUCUCCUUGAACACAGACAAGACCAAGGAGAUGAUUAUUGACCCACGGAGAAAGAGUGCACAGUACACACCUCUGUACAUAGAGGGGACAGAGGUGGAAAGGGUGAAAACCUUUAAAUUCCUCGGGACCUACAUCAGCGAGGACAUCACCUGGGAUCACAACACCCAACAAGCAAUAAAGAAAGCCCAGCAGCGACUGUACUUCCUAAGAAGGCUUAGAAAAUUUGGCAUGCCAACCAAAAUUCUCGGCAACUUCUAAAGAAGUACGGUUGAGAGUGUCCUUACCAGCUCAAUCACGGUCUGGUAUGGAAACUGCACUGCUAAGGACAGAAAGGCACUCCAGCGAGUGAUUAAAACUGCUCAGUACAUAUCAGGAGCAGCCUUCCGCUCACUACAGAACAUGUACUCUACCAGGGCCACCAGGAGAGCACACAACAUCAUCAAGGACAGUACACACCCCCAACACAAUCUCUUCAGCCUCCUACCAUCAGGCAGACGAUACAGGAGCCUGAAAUCCAGGACUACCAGACUGACAAACAGUUUCCACCCACAGGCUAUCAGGCUUGUGAAAGCUAACUUGUGAAUGCUAGCUCCCCCCCACCCCCACCCCUGUUUUACUUUUAUCUUUUGAACAAAAGACAGUUACCAUGACCACCCCUGAACUGUGAAUCAUCACUGUUGACACUUUUCACCUCUGUUCACUAAAGACACUUUUAACUGCUGCUGUGACUCAAGGUCACCUCCAUAUUUAUACUGUUGACUGUCAAUCAGAAUGUGCAAUAAUGUUAUGUUACUUACUGUGCCUUGUAUAUAACAUUUUUAGUUUUACUUUUUAUUUUUUUUUAUUUUUAGCUAAGUACCGAGUGACUUGUUGAAGGGUGGACUAGCAAAGUAAGAUUUUCAUUGUACGGCAAACUGUCUGUUUAACUGUGCAUAUGACAAUAAAACAAUCUUAAAUCUUGAAUAAUCAUUUUGACAGUAGGCUGAUAUAGAAUAGAAUAGAAUAGAAUGGAAUAGAAUAGAAUAGAAUAGAAAGUGCUUUAUUGAUACCUGGGGGAAAUUCAGCACCACAGUUCGCUCACAAUAGACAAUAAUAAUAAUAAAUAAUAUAUAACAUAUAUUAUAUAUGUUGUUAAGAAUUCUCCAUGUUAUUUACGUUUCAAAUACUUUAUUUUGAAGCAUUUCUUGACAGUGUCACUUCCGCUUCCUUCCUGUAGGUGUCACUUCCGGUUCCCGUUUGACGUGUGUUAAUGUGUGCUGACUUGUUUCUCUGUUAUGUUUAAUCGGUGCUCUAGUCCUUGACGAUCCCGCUGCCCCAGCAAGCCACGGCGUACAAGAAGCUGCCCGCCACCACCGACUCGUAGAACAUCUUCAACAUCUUUGUACGGACGUUGAAAGAUCCUAGCCUCCUGAGGAAGUAGAGGCGGCUCUGUCCCUUCCUGCAGAGGGCCUCAGCGUGUUUCGACCCAUUCAGCUUGUUGUCCAUGUGUACUCCGAGCCGGGACCUCUGCUGGCAGCAUACUCAGACACGCUGAGCGCAGCACGCCCACGCAGCGACAAGCCUGCAGACGAUCAGCAAUCUGCACACGUGGAACUGAUGAGGGCGAGCGGAUAAGGACCAGUGGACCCUAGGAUCCUUGCGGGAAAAUUUUCCGAUGGUGAAACUGUUUUCCUUCCUAUCGACUGCCUCCCUCGAUCCUCGACCCUUCGCCUGGACACGGACCUUCUCUCUCUGCCCCACGGACCUCACUUGGAUCACGGACCCCUUUCGCCUAGCCCCCUUUGGAUUUGUCUGUGUCUCAUCCAACAUCAUGGUAACACACAUCAAUUAAUUACACACGUAGUUUAACACCACACACACUCUUGGAUUUUUGUCACACACUCCAUUCCUUAGUUUAAGUAUAGUUAGUUAGAAUUGUUUAUUAUUAUUAUUAUUAUUAUUAUAUUGACAAUAUGUAUAGUAAAUCAUUGAACAUUACCUUCACCCCCUGGUGUCUGAGACGUCAUCUCCACUAUGUAAACAUAACAAUUAGUUCUGGAAAUAUUAGUUUUUUCAGACGGAUCCGAUAGUACUUCGCUGCAACACAUCAUCGUGUCCUGUGGUGACAUCCGACAGCAACAUUCUUUUCAACACAGCAAGCUUGUGAAUUGAAUCCCAAGUGUCAAACUUGACACCCUCUUUUACCACCUUUUACCGUCUUUUACACAGGUGACUUCCCACCUCUGUUGUGCUUCUGAUACCCAAAAGUGGAACAUGAUUCCCAAGUUUAAACUUUACUGUAAGGAGAAAGGCAUGGAAAAGUCGAAUUUUAAAGCCAAUGAUGGGCCAUUUCCGCCGAGCACCUAAGUUCUAAAUGAAUAUGAUGGGAUGUUAUUAAGGCUAAUAACAUGUUAAGUAUAAGUUCCUUUAAGUAAGAAAUGCACAAAAAAAGGUGUGCCACUUAGUGCAUUGGUAACAUAAAAUGUAGAUUGUUACUUAAAAUGAUUUUGUUACAAAUAAUUUUGUGAUUUUUUUUUUAUUUUAUUUUUUUUUACAAAAAGUUGCAGUAAAAUUCAAUAUAACUAUGCAGGAAUAUAAGUUUAAAAAAUAAUAAUAUAACUUGUCAUUAUUCACUUUGUUUAUACAUCCUUUGAAACCCCUUUGUCAGCACUUAUUAUCCAAUCCAAUUCAUCCAUCCAUCCAUUUUCUACCGCUUAUUCCCUUUUGGGAUCCCGGGGGGUGCUGGCGCCUAUCUCAGCUACAAUCGGGCCGAAGGCGGUGUACACCCUGGACAAGUCGCCACCUCAUUGCAGGGCCAACACAGAUAGACAAUCCAUUUCAUCAAUAAUGUCCGCAUUACUAUAUUGAAAAUCCAGUCCAUGUUUUCACAGUUACCUUAACAAAGUCGAGCAAGACCAGGUGUUCUCAAAUGGGGGACGUGUACCCCUAGGGGUACUUGAAAGUAUUCCAAGGGGUACGUGAGAUUUUUUAAAAAUAUUCUAAAAAUAGUAAGAAUUCAAAAAUCCUUUAUGAAUAUAUUUUUUGAAUAAUUUCUUCAACAAAAUAUGAAUGGAAGUUCAUAAACUGUGAAAAGAAAUACAACAAUGCAAUAUUCAGUGUUGACAGCUAGAUUUUUUUGUGGACAUGUUCCAUAAAUAUUGAUGUUAAAGAUUUAUUUUUUUGUGAAGAAAUGUUUAGAAUUAAGUUCAUGAAUCCAGAUGGAUCUCUAGUACAAUCCCCAAAGAAGGCACUUUCAGUUGAUAAAGUUAAAGUUAAAGUACCAAUGAUUGUUACACACACAAGGUGUGGUGAAAUUUGUCCUCUGCCUUUGACCCAUCUCCUUGAUCACCCCCUGGGAAGUGAGGGGAGCAGUGGGCAGCAGCAAUGCCGCGCCCGGGAAUCAUUUAUGGUGAUUUAAAUGAUAAAUAAAUGGGUUGUACUUGUAUAGCGCUUUUCUACCUUCAAGGUACUCAAAGCGCUUUGACACUAUUUCCACAUCCACCCAUUCACACACACAUUCACACACUGAUGGAGGGAGCUGCCAUGCAAGGCACCAACCAGCACCCAUCAGGAGUAAGGGUGAAGUGUCUUGCUCAGGACACAACGGGCGUGACGAGGUUGGAUUUGAACCAGGGACCCUCGGGUUGCGCACGGCCACUCUCUCCCACUGCGCCACGCCGUCCCUAAACCCAUCAUUACUUCUAUGUGUAGAAAUCGUUAUUUAUAGUUAAUCACUCGUUUAAUUUUCAACAAGUUUUUUGUUAUUUUUAUAUCUUUUUUUUCCAAAUAGUUCAAGAAAGACCACUACAAAUGACCAAUAAUUUGCACUGUUAUACAAUUCAAUAAAUCAGAAACUGAUGACAAAGUGCUGUAUUUUACUUCUUUAUCUCUUUUUUCAACCAAAAAUGCUUUGCUCUGAUUAGGGGGUUCUUGAAUUAAAAAAAUGUUCACGGGGGGAACAUCACUGAAAAAAGGUUGAGAACCACUGAGCUAGGCCACCGCAGCGUUAGGGGAGAGGGAAGUCUGGGCUUCCCUGCUUAGGCUGCUGUCCCCGUGACCCGACCUCGGAUAAGCGGAAGAAGAUGGAUGGACGAAUGCACUGUGGGUAUUUAUUUUUUUUAAUUAAAAGCAUGUUUAUGUUAUUUUAAAAAACAUUUCAUUAAAGCAAACAAAUUGUCCAGUCAUGGUAAUGAAAAACUUGAAAAUUGUCCGUCUAGAGUGCACUAACUAAUGAUGAAAAAUUAUAUUUAUCUGUGAUUAAUUGUGAUUAAUUUUGAGUCAACUAUGAACUGCGAUUAAUCGCCAAUAAAUGUUUUAAUCGUUUGACAGCCCUAAUUGCAAUAUAAAGGGUUAGCACCCGAGAAGAUGAUAUCAUAGUAAUCGCUGGCAGAGAUUGUAAUCAUUCUGGACCUAUGCGUGCGUGUGUGUGUGUGUGUGUGUGUGUGUGUUGUGUGUUGUGUGUUUUCUCAACGCAUGCAUGCACUU